GUGUCGCUUCAGCAGCACACGUACUAAAAUUGGAAAGAUACAGAGAAGAUUAGCAUGGCCCCUGCGGGAGGGUGACACGCAACUGUUUGGAGCAUUCCAUAUUAAA